rnacentral:rRNA from 1 species
CACGCAGGGGGCGAGCGUUGUCCGGAUUUAUUGGGCGUAAAGAGCUCGUAGGCGGCUCGGUAAGUCAGGUGUGAAAACUCUAGGCUCAACUUAGAGACGCCACCUGAUACUGCCGUGGCUAGAGUCCGGUAGGGGAGCAUGGAAUUCCUGGUGUAGCGGUGAAAUGCGCAGAUAUCAGGAGGAACACCAGUGGCGAAGGCGGUGCUCUGGGCCGGAACUGACGCUGAGGAGCGAAAGCGUGGGGAGCAAACAGG